UACGUAGGGUGCGAGCGUUGUCCGGAAUUAUUGGGCGUAAAGGGCUCGUAGGCGGUUUGUCGCGUCGGGAGUGAAAUCCACUGGCUUAACUGGUGGCUUGCUUUCGAUACGGGCAGACUGGAGGCAUGCAGGGGAGAACGGAAUUCCUGGUGUAGCGGUGAAAUGCGCAGAUAUCAGGAGGAACACCGGUGGCGAAGGCGGAUCUCUGGGCCGAUACUGACGCUGAGGAGCGAAAGCGUGGGGAGCGAACAGG
rnacentral:rRNA from 1 species